rnacentral:rRNA from 1 species
GACCCCAUGCCGAACUCAGAAGUGAAACGCCGUAGCGCCGAUGGUAGUGUGGGGUCUCCCCAUGCGAGAGUAGGGAACUGCCAAGC